GAUGAACGCUGGCGGCGUGCUUAACACAUGCAAGUCGAACGGGGUACCCAUGACAGAGGCUUCGGCCAAUUGAUUGGAAUACCUAGUGGCGGACGGGUGAGUAACGCGUGAGGAACCUGCCUUGGAGUGGGGAAUAACAGUUGGAAACAGCUGCUAAUACCGCAUGAUAUGUCUGUGUCGCAUGGCACUGGACAUCAAAGAUUUAUCGCUCUGAGAUGGCCUCGCGUCUGAUUAGCUAGUUGGUGGGGUAACGGCUCACCAAGGCGACGAUCAGUAGCCGGACUGAGAGGUUGGCCGGCCACAUUGGGACUGAGACACGGCCCAGACUCCUACGGGAGGCAGCAGUGGGGAAUAUUGGGCAAUGGGCGCAAGCCUGACCCAGCAACGCCGCGUGAAGGAAGAAGGCUUUCGGGUUGUAAACUUCUUUUGUCAGGGACGAUAGUGACGGUACCUGACGAAUAAGCCACGGCUAACUACGUGCCAGCCGCCGCAGUAA
rnacentral:rRNA from 1 species